GUGCUUUUAUUUAUCGAUAAUAUCUUUCAUUUUGUUCAAGCAGGAUCAGAGGUAUCCGCUUUAUUAGGGAGAAUGCCCUCCGCAGUGGGUUAUCAACCUACUCUUAGUACAGAAAUGGGUUCUUUGCAAGAAAGAAUUGCUUCUACUAGCACUCUAGAACAUAAUGAUCUUCGCACACUUUGUGGAGUGGAGCGCAAUGACGGAUUUCAUGCUAUGUGCAGAUGUCCAAUGGCGAAGGACCUAUGGAGAUUUGUGGUGAAGAAUUGGCCCCUCCCGGAUGUGGAUAAGGUGUGCAACACGGGGCUGAAAUGGCUUCUGGGAUUGCCUGACCAGCUGCCUGAUCUGAGUCGCAUGGUGCUAUUGAUGGUCCUUUCUCCUUUGGUGUACAUGGCACGCCCGAAAUGA
rnacentral:rRNA from 1 species